AUUGAACGCUGGCGGCAGGCCUAACACAUGCAAGUCGAGCGGAGCGGCGGACGGGUGAGUAAUGCCUAGGAAUCUGCCUGGUAGUGGUGGAUAACGUCCGAUAACGGGCGCUAAAACUUCUUCCUCUCAGCAUAGCCUCUGUCGGAUUAGCUAGUUGGUGGGGUAAAGGCCUACCAAGGCGACGAUCCGUAACUGGUCUGAGAGGAUGAUCAGUCACACUGGAACUGCGACACGGUCCAGACUCCUACGGGAGGCAGCAGUGGGGAAUAUUGGAAAAUGGGCGCAAGCGUGAUCCAGCCAUGCCGCGUGUGUGAAGAAGGUCUUCGGAUUGUAAAGCACUUUAAGCGGGGAGGCGUUACCAACAGAAUAAGCACCGGCUAACUCCGUGCCAGCAGCCGCGGUAAUAC
rnacentral:rRNA from 1 species